UACGAAGGGGGCUAGCGUUGCUCGGAAUCACUGGGCGUAAAGCGCACGUAGGCGGUUCUUUAAGUCAGGGGUGAAAUCCCAAGGCUCAACCUUGGAACUGCCUUUGAUACUGGGGAUCUCGAGUCAGGAAGAGGUUGGUGGAACUGCGAGUGUAGAGGUGAAAUUCGUAGAUAUUCGCAAGAACACCAGUGGCGAAGGCGGCCAACUGGUCCGGUACUGACGCUGAGGUGCGAAAGCGUGGGGAGCAAACAGG
rnacentral:rRNA from 1 species